rnacentral:snRNA from 1 species
AAGUGUCACAGCUCUUUUAGAAUUUGUCUAGCAAGGCCGGGCACAGUGGCUAAC